rnacentral:lncRNA from 1 species
CUAAAAUUGAAUGGUAAAUUUAACUCCCAAGUUUCCCCAUGGACAAAAUCAAAGAAUAAUACGGGGUUAUGUCAAGUUUUCUGUCAAUAAAGUGACUAAUGUCCAUGAGUAAGAAAAAUGUGUUUACAUUUUUAAAGAAUGUGGGCAUUGUGUUCUUAUGACACAAAGAUGCAGCUAAUAAGCAUACUGUAAUGUUUAAUGUGUUGAAAGUUGAAUCAAAAGGUAUCAUUCUGGGAUAGCAAGUUUUGUUCUUUGUUUUAGUAGAAAAGAUGAAUGUAAAUAUGAUUUUAUUUCCUUUCAGUCAUUCCUGCUUUGAACAGCCUUUGGCUGAGUGCCAUAUAGGCCAUGAUACUUCCAGACUAUCUGCUAAGAGGCAAAGUAUGAGUUAGAUAAGUGAAAAUUUAUAUGCUGGGUUACUUAGUUUUGCUUUUUUGGUAAAAGCUAAUGAGAUGCUAGGAAGUUAUCACUGAGUACAAACCAUUCCAGGCAUCAGCUGCAUAUAUAGGAAACUCUUGG